rnacentral:lncRNA from 10 species
ACUCACCGAGGUUGACGACCUUGAGCGCCGUGAAGAAGCGGUUCUGCCGGGCCAGGUCCUGCCAGGGAGCCUUGGAGCAGUGGCGUGGGUUCUCACUAUGUUGCUUAAGCUGGUCCAGAACUCAAGCCAGUCUCUCACUUCAGCCUCUUGAGUCGUUGGGAUUACAGAAGCCACCAUGUCCAACUAUGGAGUUUCGCUCCUGUUGCCCACGCUGGAGUGCAAUG